rnacentral:rRNA from 1 species
UGCCAGCCGCCGCGGUAAUACGGAGGGUACGAACGUUAAUCGGAAUUACUGGGCGUAAAGCGCGCGUAGGCGGUUUGAUAAGUGGGAUGUGAAAGCCCCGGGCUCAACCUGGGAACUGCAUUCCAAACUGUCAAACUAGAGUGUGGUAGAGGGAGGUAGAAUUUCCUGUGUAGCAGUGAAAUGCGUAGAGAUUGGAAGGAAUAUCGAUGGCGAAGGCAGCUUACUGGGCCAAUACUGACGCUGAGGUGCGAAGGCGUGGGUAGCGAACGGGAUUAGAUA